GGCGGACGGGUGAGUAAUGUCUGGGAAACUGCCUGAUGGAGGGGGAUAACUACUGGAAACGGUAGCUAAUACCGCAUAACGUCGCAAGACCAAAGAGGGGGACCUUCGGGCCUCUUGCCAUCGGAUGUGCCCAGAUGGGAUUAGCUAGUAGGUGGGGUAACGGCUCACCUAGGCGACGAUCCCUAGCUGGUCUGAGAGGAUGACCAGCCACACUGGAACUGAGACACGGUCCAGACUCCUACGGGAGGCAGCAGUGGGGAAUAUUGCACAAUGGGCGCAAGCCUGAUGCAUCCAUGCCGCGUGUAUGAAGAAGGCCUUCGGGUUGUAAAGUACUUUCAGCGGGGAGGAAGGGAGUAAAGUUAAUACCUUUACUCAUUGACGUUACCCGCAGAAGAAGCACCGGCUAACUCCGUGCCAGCAGCCGCGGUAAUACGGAGGGUGCAAGCGUUAAUCGGAAUUACUGGGCGUAAAGCGCACGCGGGCGGUUUGUUAAGUCAGAUGUGAAAUCCCCGGGCUCAACCUGGGAACUGCAUCUGAUACUGGCAAGCUUGAGUCUCGUAGAGGGGGGUAGAAUUCCAGGUGUAGCGGUGAAAUGCGUAGAGAUCUGGAGGAAUACCGGUGGCGAAGGCGGCCCCCUGGACGAAGACUGACGCUCAGGUGCGAAAGCGUGGGGAGCAAACAGGAU
rnacentral:rRNA from 1 species